rnacentral:rRNA from 1 species
UAGCAAUAUCUCGUAGUUGGAGCGGCGCAAGGGUGCGUAACACGUGGGUAAUCUGCCAUGAAGUUUGGGAUAACUCGCUGAAAGGCGAGCUAAUACCGGAUGUGACAAUUGGAAGGCAUCUUCUGAUCUUCAAAGUUGGGGACCGUAAGGCCUGACGCUUCAUGAUGAGCCCGCGGCCUAUCAGCUAGUUGGUGAGGUAACGGCUCACCAAGGCUAAGACGGGUAGCUGGUCUGAGAGGACGACCAGCCACACUGGAACUGAGACACGGUCCAGACACCUACGGGUGGCAGCAGUCGAGAAUUUUUCACAAUGGGGGAAACCCUGAUGGAGCGACGCCGCGUGGGGGAUGAAUGGCUUCGGCCCGUAAACCCCUGUCAUUCGCGAACAAUGCCCUUGGUAUAACACAUCAAAGGUUGAUAGUAGCGGAAGAGGAAGGGACGGCUAACUCUGUGCCAGCAGCCGCGGUAAUACAGAGGUCCCAAGCGUUGUUCGGAUUCACUGGGCGUAAAGGGUGCGUAGGCGGUCGGGUAAGUCUGAUGUGAAAUCUCGGAGCUCAACUCCGAAACUGCAUUGGAUACUAUUCGGCUUGAGGUCUGGAGGGGGGACUGGAAUUCUCGGUGUAGC